rnacentral:tRNA from 1 species
AUAAAUAUAGCUCAGUGAUAGAGCACUUGCCUAGUAUGCAUGAGGCCCUAGGUUCAAUUCCUAGUACAAAAA